CAGGGAAUCUUCGGCAAUGGACGAAAGUCUGACCGAGCAACGCCGCGUGAGUGAAGAAGGUUUUCGGAUCGUAAAACUCUGUUGUUAGAGAAGAACAAGGGUGAGAGUAACUGUUCACCCCUUGACGGUAUCUAACCAGAAAGCCACGGCUAACUACGUGCCAG
rnacentral:rRNA from 1 species